UACGUAGGCAGCAAGCGUUGUUCGGAGUUACUGGGCGUAAAGAGUGCGUAGGCGGUGCCCUAAGUCUGUUGUGAAAUCUCCCGGCUUAACUGGGAGGGUGCGGUGGAAACUGGGGUGCUUGAGAGUGGGAGAGGUUAGCGGAAUUCCUGGUGUAGCGGUGAAAUGCGCAGAUAUCAGGAGGAACACCGGUGGCGAAGGCGGGUCUCUGGGCCGAUACUGACGCUGAGGAGCGAAAGCGUGGGGAGCGAACAGG
rnacentral:rRNA from 1 species